UUUCUGAAAGGUUUUCUUCCUUGGGAGCUGUUUCCUAACUCCUUCCCAUUCAUCUUUACUUCUCUUCUGUUUCUUAUUCCCCUAUUUCUCUUCAACCUUCUCUCAUCCUCCGUCUGCUUAAUGUAUAAAAUUUAUACUUAAUUUUCUUUUAUGAAUUGUUUUCCCUGUAAGAUAUGCUGCAAAAAAAAAAGAAAAGUUACUCCUAUCUCUGAUGACAGUAACCAAAUUUCCAUACCCAGUCUUGUGAAUGGAGAUAGUGACCUUGGAUCUGAUACACAGGAGUCACCCAAACCAUCCCACCCAGCACCUG